rnacentral:rRNA from 1 species
UACGUAGGGUGCGAGCGUUAAUCGGAAUUACUGGGCGUAAAGCGUGCGCAGGCGGUUCGUUGUGUCGGUGGUGAAAUCCCCGGGCUUAACCUGGGAAUGGCCAUGGAAACUGGCGAACUGGAGUGCGGCAGAGGGGGGUGGAAUUCCGCGUGUAGCAGUGAAAUGCGUAGAGAUGCGGAGGAACACCGAUGGCGAAGGCGGCCUGCUGGGCAGUUGCUGACGCUGAGGCGCGACAGCGUGGGGAGCAAACAGG